CUACUUUACAUCGAAUUUUUGAUUUUUUUCAGGUCCAAUUUCAGGCCCGAUUUUCGGCCCGAUAUCAGGCCCGUUACUGUAAUCAGUCAGGGAGCUGCCACCUCUCUUUUAAGUCAGAGCAUGGGUGUUGCAUUGUGAUUGGUUUUUAAUGGAGGUGGGAGCCCCUUUGUUCAUUUAAAAGGACCAUCGAAUUUCUUUCGAGGGGGGGAUGGAAGAAAAAGAGAGGACCUACCGAUUACAAUGAGAAACACCAACCCUAAUCCCACCACAAGCAAUCUCUCUACACCCCAUUACCACUACGCCCCCAAUCAUAUUACACAAUCCCAUUACAAAAGAAAAUUGGCCAAAAUAAACAGAAAAUACAAAGCUCUUCUAGCCGAAACUUUGGGGAUUCGAAGCUUCCGAAUUCCCAAGUUCCCGGAGCCAGCAAUCAAGGGCCAUCCACGCUGCAAAAGAAGAACAAAAUCAGCUUUCGAAGGUUGGUACUCCCAAACAAAACAUCAUCCCAAUUUUCAAAUCAUAUCUAUGUUUCCAUUGCUCAUGUCCUAAACCCUUUUCUAAUCUAAUAAUCAUCAAAACUAAAUAAUCCGAAGAACUCACUGAAACAGUAAUAUAAAAAAUAAAGACUUUUUUCACCAAAUGAAAGCUUGCUAGAAAAUAUGAUUGAAAGGAUUCAAAU
rnacentral:lncRNA from 1 species